AUGCCCUGGCAUGCCUGGUUUGGGGAGGGUCCACACGUCCUGAACACCAUUGUUCCCAAGGCGUUGAUAGGACGACCAACAGAAGUAGUUGCCUCCUCUGCUGCAGUCCACAGGAGGGAGUUUAGUUUCAUAAAAACUUUGUUACUAUCUCUCUCUGCAGUGGGUCGAGUUGCACCCACCCUGACGGUGCUGCCCCCCUCCAGUGAGGAGCUGCAGCAGGAGAAGGUCACAGUCCUGUGCCUGGCCAACAAGGGCUUCCCCUCAGACUGGAGUCUGGCCUGGAAGGUGGAGGGCAGCAGCAGCAGCAGCAGCUGGGAGGAGAGCAGGAGCCCCGGGGUGCUGGAGAAGGACGGCCUCUACAGCUGGAGCAGCACCCUGAGGCUCCCUGCGGACCAGUGGAGCAAGCUGGGCUCUGUGACCUGUGAGGCCACCCAGGGCUCCCAGACUCCGCUCUCAGAGACACUGAGGAGAGACCAGUGUUCCCAGUCCUGACCUGACUCACUGGGACUCUGCUACUGGUUUUAUUCUGCCCCUGCUCUCUGUCAGCGACAACAUUUCUCCCUUUUUUUCUCUUUGUCUCUCUUUCUCUCUCUCGUGAUAAUAAAGAACAAAUAAAAGAUUUUGCCAAAUUAUCAGUUUCCAUGUCUAUCAUUUUACUCGCCGUGUCAUAUACCUUAUCAGCAAAAAUGUAGGGAAAACAACAACUUUUUUUUUUUUUUUUUUUUACAUUUUGGUAUUGUAGUCCUUGUCAUCCUUACCCAGUUAGGUAUGAAUAAAUGUAUGUAGCCUGCUUGGCUACAUACUCAUAAAUUCAACAGUGAAUAACUGCUUUCAUAUGUUGAUGUCUUACCUGCAAACAGUUGUUUUAUUAAAUCAACCAAGACUGUCUCAGGAGGCGAUCACAGACGCACCGUAGAACUAAAACAAUUGGUUAUUCUUGGUACUUCUGUUGUGUUGUUUGUAGUAGAGUUGCAAAACAGUGUUGCCCUCUUGUGGACUCAUUGCGGUGCUACACAAGUUUUGUCACUAAUUUCCUUUGGUUUCCAGAGAGAUUUAUACAGAACCUGAGAACUGUACAAUGCUCCCAGUGUGGCUCUUUGGACAGCAAUCAGUCUGUCAGGUGUUCGGUCGGUCGGCCCAUCACUUUGGUCCACACUGAAAUAGCUCAACAACUAUUGGAUGGACUGCCCUAAAAUCCAUGCCCUCUUUGGGGUAAAUGACAUAGUACUUUUUGACAGUGGAUGGCAAAUACAUUUUAAAAGAAAUUUAAAGAUGCCCAGUCUGUCAACACUUAAUGUAUUUCGUUUUUUUGUUUUCUGCUGCUGCAAUACAAAUGCACUUGUAACAACUAAAGCAUGAUCAAACAUUUUUAUUGUUAUGUUCAUAAUGUUUUAAUUAGUAUAUUUAGGCACUCACAGCACUCACCUGUAAAGUUGGCUUCAAAUCUGAAGUAUUUCUUUUGAACAUUAUACAUAUAUUUAUGACUAAAUAAGCAACAAUCAGAGUUAAAAGAAACAUCUUAAAUUAUUGAGAGUUCAACAUUCAAAGCUCAGAUAAUCUGCUUCGUCAGGACGGUGUAGGCAUGAUUUGCUGGAUCAGAAAUUUAGCAAUUCCUACACCUGAAAAUAACAUUGUACAGCUGAAACAAUUAGUCAAUUAAUGGAUUAGUUGAGCAAUAGAAAAAAUAAUCAGCAACUAUUUUGAUAAUUGAUUAAUAAUCAAGGUCACUUUGUACUGUUUUUCUCUGUUUUAUAUCGUGGCAAAGUGGACAUCUUUGGGUUUUGGCAUGUUGGUUGGACAAAAUAAGACAUUUGACAACCUCAAUAACAAUGAAAAUAAUCCUUAGUUGCAGCUGUAAUUCAUUGCCAUUGUCUGUGAACAUAAUCAUGGCAGUUUCUCAUCAGAAUGUAAAUGGAAAAAGAAAUAAGUGGUACCAAAACAUAAUUUCUAGAAGAUAUGUGAUGCUUUGAAAGGCAAUGACAAACAACAUAUUUGGAGUUUAAAGGACUUGUAGGCCGAUCAGAUGAAGGUGUCGUUGUAUCUCUCUCUGUCCAUCUUCUUUCUAUCUCUUCCUUCCUUUUCCUCCUCA